GCAUAUCAAUAAGCGGAGGAAAAGAAACCAACAGGGAUUGCCCUAGUAACGGCGAGUGAAGCGGCAACAGCUCAAAUUUGAAAUCUGGCUCUCGGGCCCGAGUUGUAAUUUGUAGAGGAUGCUUUUGAUGCGGUGCCUUCCGAGUUCCCUGGAACGGGACGCCAUAGAGGGUGAGAGCCCCGUCUGGUUGGAUGCCAAAUCUCUGUAAAGCUCCUUCAACGAGUCGAGUAGUUUGGGAAUGCUGCUCUAAAUGGGAGGUAUAUGUCUUCUAAAGCUAAAUAUUGGCCAGAGACCGAUAGCGCACAAGUAGAGUGAUCGAAAGAUGAAAAGCACUUUGAAAAGAGAGUUAAAAAGUACGUGAAAUUGUUGAAAGGGAAGCGUUUAUGACCAGACUUGGACUUGGUUAAUCAUCUGGGGUUCUCCCCAGUGCACUUUUCCAGUUCAGGCCAGCAUCAGUUUUCCCCGGGGGAUAAAGGCAGUGGGAAUGUGGCUCCCUUCGGGGAGUGUUAUAGCCCAUUGUGUAAUACCCUGGGGGAGACUGAGGUUCGCGCAUCUGCAAGGAUGCUGGCGUAAUGGUCAUCAAUGACCCGUCUUGAAACACGGACCAAGGAGUCGUCUUCGUAUGCGAGUGUUCGGGUGUCAAACCCCUACGCGUAAUUAAAGUGAACGCAGGUGAGAGCUUCGGCGCAUCAUCGACCGAUCCUGAUGUUCUCGGAUGGAUUUGAGUAAGAGCAUACGGGGCCGGACCCGAAAGAAGGUGAACUAUGCCUGUAUAGGGUGAAGCCAGAGGAAACUCUGGUGGGAGGCUCGCAGCGGUUCUGACGUGCAAAUCGAUCGUCAAAUAUGGGCAUGGGGGGCGAAAGACUAAUCGAACCUUCUAGUAGCUGGU
rnacentral:rRNA from 1 species